UUGUCCCUGCUGUGUUCGUGACCAGGUCAUAUAUUCUCUGAACCAAUGCUUAUGGCAUACAUAGGCUGCGAGCUUGUUGAGUGGGCAUGUUCGUCUCUUGUCAGACGAACUCGAAAUCAACACAACGUGGCCGACUUGAACCUUAGGUUCGAGAUGCCGACCUGAACGGCACAAGCGGGGCAAUU
rnacentral:other from 1 species